rnacentral:rRNA from 1 species
GACGUAGGGCGCGAGCGUUGUCCGGAUUUACUGGGUUUAAAGGGUGCGUAGGUGGGUAGGUAAGUCAGUGGUGAAAUCUUCGAGCUUAACUCGGAAACUGCCAUUGAUACUAUUUAUCUUGAAUACUUUGGAGGUAAGCGGAAUAUGUCAUGUAGCGGUGAAAUGCUUAGAUAUGACAUAGAACACCAAUUGCGAAGGCAGCUUACUACACAGUCGUUGACACUGAGGCACGAAAGCGUGGGGAUCAAACAGG